rnacentral:tRNA from 1 species
GCCUAGGUGGCUCAGUCAGUUAAGCAUCUGACUUCAGCUCAGGUCAUGAUCUCACGGUCUGUGGGUUUGAGCCCCACAUUGGGCU